GACGAACGCUGGCGGCGUGCCUAAUACAUGCAAGUAGAACGCUGAAGGAGGAGCUUGCUUCUCUGGAUGAGUUGCGAACGGGUGAGUAACGCGUAGGUAACCUGCCUGGUAGCGGGGGAUAACUAUUGGAAACGAUAGCUAAUACCGCAUAAGAGUAGAUGUUGCAUGACAUUUACUUAAAAGGUGCAAUUGCAUCACUACCAGAUGGACCUGCGUUGUAUUAGCUAGUUGGUGAGGUAACGGCUCACCAAGGCAACGAUACAUAGCCGACCUGAGAGGGUGAUCGGCCACACUGGGACUGAGACACGGCCCAGACUCCUACGGGAGGCAGCAGUAGGGAAUCUUCGGCAAUGGACGGAAGUCUGACCGAGCAACGCCGCGUGAGUGAAGAAGGGUUUCGGAUCGUAAAGCUCUGUUGUAAGAGAAGAACGAGUGUGAGAGUGGAAAGUUCACACUGUGACGGUAGCUUACCAGAAAGGGACGGCUAACUACGUG
rnacentral:rRNA from 1 species